rnacentral:rRNA from 1 species
GACGAACGCUGGCGGCGUGCCUAAUACAUGCAAGUAGAACGCUGAAGGAGGAGCUUGCUUCUCUGGAUGAGUUGCGAACGGGUGAGUAACGCGUAGGUAACCUGCCUGGUAGCGGGGGAUAACUAUUGGAAACGAUAGCUAAUACCGCAUAAUAGUAGAUGUUGCAUGACAUUUGCUUAAAAGGUGCAAUUGCAUCACUACCAGAUGGACCUGCGUUGUAUUAGCUAGUUGGUGAGGUAACGGCUCACCAAGGCGACGAUACAUAGCCGACCUGAGAGGGUGAUCGGCCACACUGGGACUGAGACACGGCCCAGGCUCCUACGGGAGGCAGCAGUAGGGAAUCUUCGGCAAUGGACGGAAGUCUGACCGAGCAACGCCGCGUGAGUGAAGAAGGUUUUCGGAUCGUAAAGCUCUGUUGUAAGAGAAGAACGAGUGUGAGAGUGGAAAGUUCACACUGUGACGGUAUCUUACCAGAAAGGGACGGCUAACUACGUG